ACAUGUGCGAGUGCCCGGUCCAUAAAAACUGCUACUGUGAGUCAUUCCUGGCGUACGCCCGAGCCUGUCAGAGGGAAGGGUUGAAAGUCCAGUGGGUAGCGGAGCAGAACUGUGCAGCAACCCAGUGUAAACACGGUGCAGUUUAUGAUACCUGUGGUCCAGGAUGUGUCAAAACAUGUGACAACUGGAACGAGAUUGGCCCAUGCAACAAGCCCUGCGUUGCAGGGUGCCACUGUCCGGCAAAUCUAGUUCUUCACAAGGGAAGAUGCAUCAAGCCAGUCCUGUGCCCACAGCGAUGACAUUAAUUCCCUUUCCGCGGACACUAACGCGGGUGGUCACUGACCCCUUUGAUGCUCACAGCCAGUGAAGGACUCCAGCUAUUUGUGUGCAGAUUCUGCAAAGUACAUGUCUGCUCACAGAGUGUAAAUAUGCUCCUGUGUGUAUAUUUAUGUGUGUUUAUGUAUACACACAUGGCACCUAGAAAGAUAUGUGUGUAUGUAGAUAUACAUAUCUAUACACAAGUGCCCUAAACGUAAGUACAACCCAUAUAUUUAUAUAUAUGUCCAUACACACAAAUAUACAUCAUUUCUAUAUAUCAUAGAAGGAUGAAUUAUUAUAUGUAUAUUUUUUGCUAUAAAGUUUAUGUAUUAUUAUUUCUAGGACCCUGAUCUGUAAGUCAUUGUAUAAAUAAACCAGGUGUUUUUAAUAUAA